rnacentral:rRNA from 1 species
UGCGGUGCGGCAGCUUACACAUGCAAGUCGAGCGCACUCUUCGGAGUGAGCGGCGGACGGGUUAGUAACGCGUGGGAACGUGCCCUUCUCUAAGGAAUAGCCACUGGAAACGGUGAGUAAUACCUUAUACGCCCUUCGGGGGAAAGAUUUAUCGGAGAAGGAUCGGCCCGCGUUAGAUUAGAUAGUUGGUGGGGUAAUGGCCUACCAAGUCUACGAUCUAUAGCUGGUUUUAGAGGAUGAUCAGCAACACUGGGACUGAGACACGGCCCAGACUCCUACGGGAGGCAGCAGUGGGGAAUCUUGGACAAUGGGCGCAAGCCUGAUCCAGCCAUGCCGCGUGAGUGAUGAAGGCCUUAGGGUCGUAAAGCUCUUUCGCCAGAGAUGAUAAUGACAGUAUCUGGUAAAGAAACCCCGGCUAACUCCGUGCCAGCAGCCGCGGUAAUACGGAGGGGGUUAGCGUUGUUCGGAAUUACUGGGCGUAAAGCGCACGUAGGCGGAUCAGAAAGUAUAGGGUGAAAUCCCAGGGCUCAACCCUGGAACUGCCUUGUAAACUCCUGGUCUUGAGUUCGAGAGAGGUGAGUGGAAUUCCGAGUGUAGAGGUGAAAUUCGUAGAUAUUCGGAGGAACACCAGUGGCGAAGGCGGCUCACUGGCUCGAUACUGACGCUGAGGUGCGAAAGUGUGGGGAGCAAACAGGAUUAGAUACCCUGGU